rnacentral:snRNA from 1 species
AUCGCUUCUCGGCCUUUUGGCUAAGAUCAAGUGUAAAAAUGUAUAAAGGGCUAAUCUGAAAGGAAAAGACCUUAAAUAUUUUUCUAUCUGUAUUUUAAAUGCCUUUCCUGUACCUUAUGCUUAUACACAUGCAUGCACCACCUGUCCUGUAGUGAAAAUGCUCU